CCCAGAGCGGGGCCACCAUGUGACCCGCGGGUGACACCGCCCCGUCCGACCCUUGUCCUGUCCCCAGCCUGUCCUCAGGACCGGCUCCAUGGCGGUGGUUUCCGCGCUGGGUUCCCUGGCCGCGGUGGCCCUGGGCACCUUCGUGGUGGCCCUGCUGCUGCGGUGGCUCUGGGAUGCGCUGCUCGCUGUCACCCGAUUCCGGGCCACUUGUCGCCAGCUGAACAAGUUUCCCACCCCGCCCUGGCGCAAUUGGUUGCUGGGACACACCGGCAUGGGCCAGAGCACAGAGCAGGGCCUGCAGCAGGUGGACGCCUUGGUGGCCCGGUACCGUCAUGGCUGCCUCUGGUGGGGACUUCCCUGGCUGCCCGUCCUGCGCCUCUUCCACCCCAGCACCCUUCGGCCACUCCUCAGUGCUUCAGCUUUCGUGGCCCCCAAGGACAAAACUUUCUAUGGCUUCCUCAAGCCCUGGCUUGGGGAGGGGCUGCUGUUGAGCAGUGGGCAGCGCUGGGCACGGCACCGGCGGCUCUUGACCCCCGCCUUCCAUGGGGAUGUUCUCCGGGCUUACCUGGGAAUCUUCAACCAGAGCACCCGCGUGCUGCUCGCCAAGUGGGGGGCAGCAGCAGCGGCAGCUGCCGGGGGGCCACUGGAGAUGGAGGUGCUGCAGCCCCUGAGCCUCCUCACCCUGGACACGCUCCAGAAGUGCAUCUUCAGCCACGAGAGCCACUGCCAGGAGCAGCCCAGUGAGUAUAUCCAGGCCAUCCUGGAGCUGAGCUCGUUGGUGGUUCGGCGCCAGCUCCGGCCACUUCUCCACCCGUGGUGGCUGUACAGGCUCUCCUCUGAUGGUCGGCGCUUUGCCCGUGCCUGUGCCACCGUCCACGCCUUCACCGCUGACGUGGUGCAGCGCCGGCGCCGUGCGCUUGCCCGCCUGGGCCACCAGGCCUGGCUGGAUAGCCACCGGGGACGCAGCAUGGACUUCAUCGACCUCCUGCUGCUCACCAAGGACGAGGAUGGCCACACGCUGUCGGAUGAGGACAUCGCGGCCGAGGCUGACACAUUCAUGUUUGAGGGCCACGACACCACGGCCAGUGGCCUGGCAUGGCUCUUCUACAACCUGGCUGGCCACCCUGAGCACCAGGAGCGAUGCCGCCGAGAGGUCCAGGAGCUCCUGGCUGGCCGGGACACUGCAGACGUUGAAUGGGAGGACCUGUCCCAGCUGCCCUUCACCACCAUGUGCAUCAAGGAGAGCCUGCGGCUGCACCCUCCUGUCACUGCCGUGUCCCGGCGCUGCACUGAAGACGUCCCCCUGCGUGAUGGCCGUGUCAUCCCCAAGGGGGUCAUCUGCCUGAUGAGCAUCUACGGGACCCACCACAACCCAGAGCUCUGGCCCGAUCCUGAGGUGUUUGAUCCCCUGCGAUUCAGCCCAGAGAACAGCGAGGGACGGUCUCCCUCAUCCUUCAUCCCUUUCUCUGCUGGCCCCAGGAACUGCAUCGGGCAGAGCUUUGCCAUGGCUGAGAUGAAGGUGGUGGUGGCACUCACACUGUCCCAGUUCGUGCUGCGGAGGGACACAACGAGGCCACCCCCGCGCCGCAAGCCCGAGCUGAUCCUGCGAGCCGAGGACGGGAUCUGGCUGCUGCUGGAGCCACUGGUGGUGAUACCGAAAUAACGAGAAAAAGAACUAAUGUGGAUAUAGCAAUAGCAGUAGUUAUGCUAAGGCUUAGAAAGCAGCAGUUCACAAGCAGGCCCUGGGAAACAGGCAGGCCUGGACAGACCUGGAAUGUACUAAGAAUCACAAACUAGUAGAGCAUGCAGAACGUAGUGAAGUAAUAAAUGAUAAAAGUUAAUAUAUAAUCAAUGAUAAAGGGUUCUGGUAGUGGGAUGACAAGCAAGGGGGAUUAAAGGGGGGUAACCUAUAGUUUUGAGUAGACAAGCGUGUAGAAUUAAUGACUUUUAGAAAUAAUAUCUACGAGAUUUGUGUAACCGUCUUGUCUUGAAGAAUGUGUACUAUUGUAUGUAAAUCACUUUGUAAAAGGAUAUAAAAACCUGACGAAAAAGGGGACGGUGGGCUCUGACUUUGGACGCUAGUCCUCAGACCCCAGGGCCCUCAAUAAAGCACCGCACUAAACAACCUAGUUGUUUCGUGUCUCUCUGUCGGGCAACAGUUUUCUGGCGACCGUGGCAGGACUCCGAGGGCUGCUGGGGCGGUUCGUGUCCUGAUUCACUCCACGCCGGCACCGAGUGAUUCUCGGGGAGUCAUCGGUUCGUGCCCGACCCCGCACCUGUCGGACAACUGCAGGAGUCCUUACAGCGCUGCGAGGAGCAUUGCAGUGGAACCGGCCUCUGCCCUUGGAAAAUCCUGUCCAUGACAUCCAGCCAGGAGAUCAA